rnacentral:rRNA from 1 species
GAUGAACGCUGGCGGCGUGCCUAAUACAUGCAAGUCGAGCGAACAGAUGAGGAGCUUGCCCCUCUGACGUUAGCGGCGGACGGGUGAGUAACACGUGGAUAACCUACCUAUAAGACUGGGAUAACUUCCGGAAACCGGAGCUAAUACCGGAUAAUAUAUUGAACCGCAUGGUUCAAUAGUGAAAGACGGUUUUGCUGUCACUUAUAGAUGGAUCCGCGCCGCAUUAGCUAGUUGGUAAGGUAACGGCUUACCAAGGCAACGAUGCGUAGCCGACCUGAGAGGUUGAUCAGCCGCACUGGAACUGCAACUCGGACAAGACUCCUACUUGUGUCGGCAGGAGCGUAUCUUCCGGCAUGGGCGUAGGCCUAACGGACGAACGCAGCGUGUCUGAUACAGGUCUUCUGCCCGUAAUACUCUGUUUUUAUGGUAUAGCGAUUGUCUAAAAUACUAUGCACGUCUGGGCGGUACCGUAUCAGAAAGUCACAGCUAACUACGUG